rnacentral:rRNA from 1 species
AAUAUUGCACAAUGGGGGAAACCCUGAUGCAGCGACGCCGCGUGCGCGAAGAAGGCCUUCGGGUCGUAAAGCUCUGUCCUAUGGGAAGAAACGGACGGUACCUUAGGAGGAAGCCCCGUCUAACUACGUGCCAGCAGCCGCGGUAAUACGUAGGGUGCGAGCGUUAUCCGGAAUUACUGGGCGUAAAGGGUGCGUAGGCGGCCUUUUAAGGCAGAUGUGAAAGGCUACGGCUUAACCGUAGUUAGCAUUUGAAACUAAGAGGCUUGAGUGCAGGAGAGGAGAGUAGAAUUCCUAGUGUAACGGUGAAAUGCGUAGAUAUUAGGAGGAAAACCAGUGGCGAAGGCGACUCUCUGGACUGCAACUGACGCUGAGGCACGAAAGCGUGGGUGGCGAAC